rnacentral:lncRNA from 1 species
AAAUGAUUUUUAGGACCUAAAGUUGAUUGAAACUCAAUUUGGCUCAAAAUAUAAACAAUUUAGUUUGCUUUUUAUUUCUAAUUGAGAACGUCUAUAUUGAAGAGUAAUGAUAAUUUUUUGAAUCUUUAUUAUAUUUGUAUUUGAGAGGCCUUUUUUUUCUUUUCCCCCCGGGCCCCAUAUAUGUUUGGACUGGCCCUGUUUCUACCACUUGUAACAAAGUGAAUGGAAGAGGAUGUACAAGAACUUUAAACGAAUUUUAGCAUGAUUGUUGUCUUGUAUCCCAUACCUACAAUUAGAAAAUAAAAAUAUGUAGAAUAAAAAAAGAUAUUACCAUUAGUAACGUUACAAACAUCAUUAAAAAAAUACAUGAAUCUAGAAAAAUGCAUCUAAUGAUGUGACAUCUAAUAGAAAAUAAAAGUACUUCUACUCAAGCAUAUUUAGAAUGGAUCUACACAACAACAUUUUAGCUUCUGAGUUUAAGGAUGAAAUGUGACAUCUAAUAGAAAAUAAAGAAUUUUUGAAUGUAAAGGAACUUUUGAAAAUAUCUUUUAUGGGACAUUAAAGCAAAGAAUGGACAAUGGAAUACAUAUACGAUUUAAAAAUAUUUCAUUGAAAACAUACACACGGGUAGAAAUAGGUUGCAUUCAAAAUAAUUUGAAACAUCAAAAUCAACAAAAGCUUAAUAAAAAUGUAUUUUGAUGAUAGUAAUAAUCUGGUCAAAAGGGGAAAGUUCACACACAGAUAGUUAAUACCCAUGAUCAGAUUAUACCAUCAAAUAGAGAAAGUGUCUUUUGGCGUAAAAUCAAUGUAUCAUGCUAUUGUUGGCUUAAAAUGAAAAUAGCAACUAUUGUUGGUUUAAAAAUAAAUAUAGCAUGUUAUUUUUUUUCUUUAAAAAAGAAAGUGUCAUGCUACUUUUGGCUUAAAAAUGAGAGUAGCAUGCUAUUUUUGCUCCACAAAUGAAAUUAGUGUGCUAUUUUUGUUUAAAAAAUAAAAAUAGAAUGUUAUUUUUUGUCCUAACUAACGAAAGUAACGUGCUAUAUUUACUUUGAAAUGAAAGUACCAUGCUUUAUUUACAUUACAAAUGAAAAUAGCAUGUUAUUUCUUCCAUUGGACCAAAUAAGUUUCAUCAAUGGACUUAAAUAUUUAAAAUAGAAAAAAUUGGAUAAUAUCCUUAAAUUCAACUGACCAUAGGGAUAGAAAAUGGUACUUACUAAAAAAUCAAAUUAGCAUACGUGAGGAUAUUACAAUCAAAUGAAUUUAUAUGUAUAGAAUCAUGUAUAAAUAUUAUAGAAGUUAAUCAUUGAUAAAAAAAAUGUUGAACAUAGUUAUUUGUGUAGCACAUUGAAACAGUUUGUCAAUACACAUAUCAUUUUUAUUAAAAAGUAAUUUAUAAAUUAAUUAUAAAUAAUAAAAAUGCACUUUUCAUCCUAAAAGUUCCAAAAGCACAUCAAAGCUAAUUUGAACUUGGAAAAACUAGUUUCCCAAUUCAUUAUCUUUUCAAUACAUACAAAAUUAUCCAAUUUAUAAAUAAAACCUCCGGUUCUAAAAAUCUCAAAAAGCACAUUACAUUGUUAUUGCCCUUAUAACUUCAAACCAAAAUUCUUCUAUCUUUUGGUCCUUUAAUAUGAAAAUUUUCAUUUUUAUUAUCAUUUUAUUCAAAUAAAUCAUUUUUCUAGAAAUUUCAUGAAUAUUUUGAAUUCAAUUUUCAUGUAUUUUUUAUUUAUGGCCAAAAUACCCUUAGCCUUCAAAAACUCCAACACCAUCCCAAGGCUUUUACAAUAUUUUCAAGUAUGACAUAAACUAUAAAGAGAAAUAGAGAAACAAUUGUCCAUCCCAUGUACCAAAUUUCAAAGAAAAACUUGUAAAAUAAAUGAUAAGAACUUGCAAAAUUAUUUUUCUUAUAUCUGAUUCACAUUUGACUGUAAGCAAUAAAAGUAAACCAAAGUUUUCAUUUCCAUGUAAAUGAACGGAAAUUGCAACCUUUAAAAGUGCAGAAAAAAAAAAGUUUUCAUGAGAAUCAUGAAACUAAAAACACCAACAACAGGAGAUGCAAUUUGAAGGACCCUACUGCAUCCUGUAAUUUCAAAACAAAGGCCUUCAUAAUCCAACCUCUCCCCAGCAUGUUCAAGUUUCUUUAAAUGACCAUUAUUUUCCUCUUUGUGUGAGAAUAUAUUUAUUUAUAAAAUAAUUCAAGACCAAAUUUAAAACUACUUCAAAUAUACCAACUGAAAUUUUUGUAGUUUCAAAGUAAAUCAUUCUUUAAAUGGACACCAUCUCAUGAAAAUAAAAAAUAAAAAUGGAGUUGGGAAUGCUUGCUUUCACCUGUUAUAACAUACUAAUGCCCUCAAUAAGAAGAAUCUUGCAAGGCUAUGUAUAAUCUGGUAAUAUCGACAACACAGGCACCUUCAAAACAGAGAAAAUGUAUUUAAAGAAAACGAUAAAUAAAUCUAGAGCAGAGAAUCUACUGGAAUGUCAAAAAAUUACAAAAAACCAGGAUCGUAAAGAAAUUACAUGAAGGCUUCAUAGUUCUAACCUGACAUCAUCUUAAAACCUUCUUAAUCGAUCAAAGAAAAGCAAGAAUAUUCGGUGACCAAAGCAUUUGUGUGUGUGUGUGUGAGAGAGAGAGAGAGAGAGAGAGAGAGAGAGAUUGUGGUACUCAUUAAAUAUUAAAUAGUCUCUUUCCAUUAAAUCCAAAUUAAAGAAUAACUUGUAAAAUAAAUGAUAAGAACAUAAUACUGAAAAGGGUUUUCUGAGAGAGAGCGCCUGGACAAAAGCAAUUCACGAUUUUGGAUAAAACCAUAACUGAAAACAAUUAUUUGCUACAAGAUUCGUCCUUAAACUGACGGUGUUAAAAAUGUCCAUUAAAAUUGAAAUAACAUGACUAACCUGCUAUCGCAUCAACCUUUUCAAUAAUAGCUACCAAACGUUAAAGUACAAGAGAUAGAUAGAUAAUGGCGAAGGUGAUGGGAAUGAAAGGUAUAUAUCAGAUUUGAGUGAUAAGAGACGGAGAAUUAGGUUAAGAAAUGAACGGACAAAGAAAAUUUAUAAGUGACUACAAAAUCACUUGACAUAACUGAUCUGUGCAUACAAUCGUGGCCAAAUCCUUGGCAGGAAGGUUUGUAGUGUUUGAUCUUCACAAACAGAGGACAAUUGACAAUUUCAUUCACCAUUAAUAUAUAUUUCAUAAUUGAAAUCUAAGACUAUUUUAAGUGCAAACUGAUUAAAGGAAAGCAAUGUAAAAAAAGAAAACGGAUGAAAA